GCGGGAAUAGCUCAGUUGGUAGAGCACGACCUUGCCAAGGUCGGGGUCGCGAGUUCGAGUCUCGUUUCCCGGC
rnacentral:tRNA from 1 species